rnacentral:rRNA from 1 species
CUACAGGCUUAACACAUGCAAGUCGAGGGGCAGCAUGGUCUUAGCUUGCUAAGGCCGAUGGCGACCGGCGCACGGGUGAGUAACACGUAUCCAACCUGCCGUCUACUCUUGGACAGCCUUCUGAAAGGAAGAUUAAUACAAGAUGGCAUCAUGAGUCCACAUGUUCACAUGAUUAAAGGUAUUCCGGUAGACGAUGGGGAUGCGUUCCAUUAGAUAGUAGGCGGGGUAACGGCCCACCUAGUCUUCGAUGGAUAGGGGUUCUGAGAGGAAGGUCCCCCACAUUGGAACUGAGACACGGUCCAAACUCCUACGGGAGGCAGCAGUGAGGAAUAUUGGUCAAUGGGCGAGAGCCUGAACCAGCCAAGUAGCGUGAAGGAUGACUGCCCUAUGGGUUGUAAACUUCUUUUAUAAAGGAAUAAAGUCGGGUAUGCAUACCCGUUUGCAUGUACUUUAUGAAUAAGGAUCGGCUAACUCCGUGCCAGCAGCCGCGGUAAUACGGAGGAUCCGAGCGUUAUCCGGAUUUAUUGGGUUUAAAGGGAGCGUAGAUGGAUGUUUAAGUCAGUUGUGAAAGUUUGCGGCUCAACCGUAAAAUUGCAGUUGAUACUGGAUAUCUUGAGUGCAGUUGAGGCAGGCGGAAUUCGUGGUGUAGCGGUGAAAUGCUUAGAUAUCACGAAGAACUCCGAUUGCGAAGGCAGCCUGCUAAGCUGCAACUGACAUUGAGGCUCGAAAGUGUGGGUAUCAAACAGGAUUAGAUACCCUGGUAGUCCACACGGUAAACGAUGAAUACUCGCUGUUUGCGAUAUACAGCAAGCGGCCAAGCGAAAGCGUUAAGUAUUCCACCUGGGGAGUACGCCGGCAACGGUGAAACUCAAAGGAAUUGACGGGGGCCCGCACAAGCGGAGGAACAUGUGGUUUAAUUCGAUGAUACGCGAGGAACCUUACCCGGGCUUAAAUUGCAGAUGAAUUACGGUGAAAGCCGUAAGCCGCAAGGCAUCUGUGAAGGUGCUGCAUGGUUGUCGUCAGCUCGUGCCGUGAGGUGUCGGCUUAAGUGCCAUAACGAGCGCAACCCUUGUUGUCAGUUACUAACAGGUCAUGCUGAGGACUCUGACAAGACUGCCAUCGUAAGAUGUGAGGAAGGUGGGGAUGACGUCAAAUCAGCACGGCCCUUACGUCCGGGGCUACACACGUGUUACAAUGGGGGGUACAGAGGGCCGCUACCACGCGAGUGGAUGCCAAUCCCAAAAACCUCUCUCAGUUCGGACUGGAGUCUGCAACCCGACUCCACGAAGCUGGAUUCGCUAGUAAUCGCGCAUCAGCCACGGCGCGGUGAAUACUUUCCCGGGCCUUGUACACACCGCCCGUCAAGCCAUGGGAGCCGGGGGUACCUGAAGUGCGUAACCGCGAGGAGCGCCCUAGGGUAAAACUGGUGACUGGGGCUAAGUCAUAACA